CGCCUGGAAACAAAGAAAGGGAUAAUUACGAGAGAGGAGCUCUGCCAGCCGCCAUUUUGUCAUCCUAGCUGCUAUGAGAUGGCGGGAAAAAUCCAUUUGCAUCCGCUUAUCUGCAAUCCCUUUGGCGUUUGUAACGACUGAAUUUGCCAAAAGUCUACUCAGUGGAAUGAAUGAUAUUUUAUAAUAUCUGAACAGUACUUGCCAAGAAUCAUUUCUCCAGUCAGUGGGUCUUUCAUCACAGCAGCCGUCAGACCAACUCCGGUACUUCCCCGCCCUGUAGUGUACUGACCUGGGACAAUAUAAAUGAUUUUAAGGAUAUCAGAAAUCAUUUAUCAGAGUCUGUUGGUUGGCCUAAAUAACAAUGGUUUUUGUUUUUGUUUUUAAUAUUGUAAACCCUCAUCUCUUUUAGAAAUAUAGCUCUCCCUACAAAAUGUCACACUUAAGGAAUAGAACUGAGAAGUUUUCAUUCUAUGAUGGAUUGGGUUUGCCAGGGAUAGAAGCUGGUUUUGCUGGCUACUAAAAUAAACAUCCCCUUUUGCAUCAUGCAAGUCUGUUUCACAGACUAUGGUGCAGUUGCAGCAACACUGACAAGUUAUUUCCAAUAGGGGACUUGCGCUAAGAGAUCAAGUGACUGUUUGGGUGGCAAACUAGCACAUGCUCAGGCUUUUAGCGGCGAAAUCACUGUUUAUUUUGGUUUGGUUUUCUUAAAGCAAAGUGUCCUAUUUCACUAAGUUUUCAAGUGGAAACUCAAAGUCACAGUCAAAUAAGGGCAAGGCUACAGAAGUUGUUCUUGAAAUCCCUGAUGAUUAUGUGUUACAAGUAUCUGUCCACCUUCUAUCAGCUGAUGGGGACAGUGUAUUUUCCUGAGUUUUAUGUUAUUUUGUGUUAUUAAAAAACUUACUUCUUGGUGCUAA